GGAAUCUUAGACAAUGGGCGCAAGCCUGAUCUAGCCAUGCCGCGUGUGUGAUGAAGGCCUUGGUCGUAAAGCACUUUCGCCAGAGAUGAUAAUGACAGUAUCUGGUAAAGAAACCCCGGCUAACUCCGUGCCAGCAGCCGCGGUAAUACGGAGGG
rnacentral:rRNA from 1 species